AUUGAACGCUGGCGGCAGGCCUAACACAUGCAAGUCGAACGGUACAGGAAGAAGCUUGCUUCUUUGCUGACGAGUGGCGGACGGGUGAGUAAUGUCUGGGAAACUGCCUGAUGGAGGGGGAUAACUACUGGAAACGGUAGCUAAUACCGCAUAACGUCGCAAGACCAAAGAGGGGGACCUUCGGGCCUCUUGCCAUCGGAUGUUCCCAGAUGGGAUUAGCUAGUAGGUGGGGUAACGGCUCACCUAGGCGACGAUCCCUAGCUGGUCUGAGAGGAUGACCAGCCACACUGGAACUGAGACACGGUCCAGACUCCUACGGGAGGCAGCAGUGGGGAAUAUUGCACAAUGGGCGCAAGCCUGAUGCAGCCAUGCCGCGUGUAUGAAGAAGGCCUUCGGGUUGUAAAGUACUUUCAGCGGGGAGGAAGGGAGUAAAGUUAAUACCUUUGCUCAUUGACGUUACCCGCAGAAGAAGCACCGGCUAACUCCGUG
rnacentral:rRNA from 1 species